rnacentral:lncRNA from 1 species
GCAUUCACACGGGGCCUCAACCCAAGGGGCGUGAUAUAAACAACCUAUUCUAAUGAAAAGAAACAUGGAGAAAACAAUAUAGGCCUAAAUUGUCUGUCCGAAAAGCGAACUUUUACUGUCUAAAUGAGGGAGGACGAGAGUAGUUACAUGAUCAACUAAAUGCAGAAAGUCAUCGAUCUGGUUUCAUUUGUUUCUAUAUUCUCACUGUACAUUGAACAAGCUAUAGCAAACAACAAAGAGUAUCCAGCUUUUAUUGGGACUUGCAUUGCAGACAGCAGUUUACUGUAGCAACAACAUUCUUCUGUUAGAUUUAAAGGAUUUCUGAGGUUAAAUAAAGACGAGAAAGGUUGCUGAUAUAUCUCACUCUAGUAUUUGCGGUGUAUAUUGUUCAAUCAAUCAACUACACCUCAAUUAUAAACUAUUUGAGUCGGUUAUGUGACGGAGGAACGAAGAGCAAACACAGUAAAAUACAGCUAUAGAUUUCCCUAUUCUAUACUUGAAUGACCAUCUUCCAUUUCCACAUUGAAGCACCCUUCAAUAAUGCCACGGAGAUACUCUAACUGCU